AGUGAACGCUGGCGGUAGGCCUAACACAUGCAAGUCGAACGGCAGCACAGUAAGAGCUUGCUCUUACGGGUGGCGAGUGGCGGACGGGUGAGGAAUACAUCGGAAUCUACUUUUUCGUGGGGGAUAACGUAGGGAAACUUACGCUAAUACCGCAUACGACCUACGGGUGAAAGCAGGGGAUCUUCGGACCUUGCGCGAUUGAAUGAGCCGAUGUCGGAUUAGCUAGUUGGCGGGGUAAAGGCCCACCAAGGCGACGAUCCGUAGCUGGUCUGAGAGGAUGAUCAGCCACACUGAGACUGAGACACGGUCCAGACUCCUACGGGAGGCAGCAGUGGGGAAUAUUGGACAAUGGGCGCAAGCCUGAUCCAGCCAUACCGCGUGGGUGAAGAAGGCCUUCGGGUUGUAAAGCCCUUUUGUUGGGAAAGAAAAGCAGCAGGUUAAUACCCCGCUGUUCUGACGGUACCCAAAGAAUAAGCACCGGCUAACUUCGUG
rnacentral:rRNA from 1 species